rnacentral:rRNA from 1 species
GACGAACCGUGCGAACGUUGUUCGGAAUCACUGGGCUUAAAGGGCGCGUAGGCGGCUCCGCAAGUCAGGGGUGAAAUCUUUCGGCUUAACCGGAAAAGUGCCUCUGAUACUGCGGAGCUCGAGGGAGGUAGGGGCGGACGGAACUUCCGGUGGAGCGGUGAAAUGCGUUGAUAUCGGAAGGAAUGCCGGUGGCGAAAGCGGUCCGCUGGCCCUCUACUGACGCUGAGGCGCGAAAGCCAGGGGAGCAAACGGGAUUAGAUACCCCGGUAGUCCUGGCCCUAAACGAUGGGUACUAGACUGUGGGCUUGACAUGGGCUCACAGUCGAAGCAAAAGUGUUAAGUACCCCGCCUGGGGAGUAUGGUCGCAAGGCUGAA